AUGAGUUUUGCUGGAGCCUUUUGGCCAAGCAUUGAGAACAAAUGUUGGAGAUCUUCUGAAACACCUGGCUUUGGUGCUGGGUGCCUUAUACAGGUGAGGCCAUUCAAGCUAAAGGGGUGCAGCCAAGUUUAUAAAGUCACUAAGAGGAGCUGGUGGUCCUUGAGCCACCCAGGUCUUCAUGCCCGUGAAGCUAAAGCUGCAAAAAUCCCCGUGAAGCAGCCCCUGUUGGGAAAAAGAACCCCCCAAGCCAAAAUCCAAGCCCCCAAACGUACAGAACUAUCCAUAGGUGCACUCAUAUACUUGUAUAAUGAGCAGACCUAUUGAACUGUAGGAGGAACUGGGGAGUGGCUCAGUUUCCCAGAAAAUGAUCUAAAACUUUUGACCAUGGCAAAAUAAUUACAAAAGCAAGCGGUAGAACUGCUUUCACACAGAGGUGGUGUGUUUCAUUAACCCUGCAUACCCCCUUGGAACAACCCCAUAUUCCCCAUGCAUUAAGAAUGGGCUCCCACCCGUAUCCUGUGUGACAAGACAACAAACGUUUAUUCCUGUUUCUGUUUUGUUUUGGUUUAAAAUGCUUUAAUCUUAAUCUUGUGUCCAUCCCCUCCCACCGAACGACUGGAGGUCUCCCGAAGCCUUGUAAUCGUCGCUCUGUAAUCCCAUAAUGAAAAGCAGGAUUACCUGCAGCCUUACACGUGCAGGACCCAUCUUUGCCCGAUGUUACCCGUGUGGAGGUGUCAGCUCUCCUACGCAGGAGGGACAGGGGUGCUGUCCUGGUUUCCUACAGCACCUUCACCCCAUGUCAGCUCCCCUGCCGUGGCAGUCCGGAGGACUUCAGCUUAUGGUUUUAUCAGACAAUUUACCCUCAAGCUGAAUAAUAAGGACCAUAAGGAGAAGUUUUUAAAUGCUGACCAAAAUCAAUUAAUAAUAAAGAAAGAAUUGACAGUGUCUUUUUCCCCAAACCCAUGAGACUAGCAUCCACUGGUCAGCUGUGCAUCAACCUUUAAAGGAGAGGAUUUCAUAUUUUGGGCUCACCCCAAGCACUGGGUUUGGACCCUGCUGUAAUAGCAGGCUGAACUUGCUCCUAUCUGCACUCCUCGUGCUGGCGGAGAAGCAGCAGGAUGGGAGCUGGGCCCCCCGUGUGCCUUGUGAAUAAUUCAGGUGCCUCCAAACUGCACGAGGGAAUAUCUUGUUGGGCUUUUUACAUAACACCUAAUCAGCCCUCGGCACACAGUGCCACGGGAGUUUAAUGAGAUUCCGAAAAGAGCCAUCUCCAAACAGCUGUGGAUUGAGCCCGUGUGUGUAAAAUAAGUAAUUUUGUGUAGGGGUGUGUUGGUGCGUACAUACAAAUGCAGAAAUGUAAUAAAAUAGUUGGGGAAGGUAUGCUCGUGAGCACUGUAAGAGAAUAGGGAUUCAAUGAAUUCAGCACGACCUGGCUGCUCUGCAUUUUUUUAUUUUUUUUUUAAGUGAUCUUCCGAAUCUUCAGGAUGUCCUUGUUUAUUUUCUUUGAUUGUGCUUUGAUUUAAAAUUCUGGGCUCAUUAAAUGCCAUAAAAAGAAACAUUUACAUAAUUUACAAGCUCUUUAUAUGAACAUUUUAAUAAAAGAAUACACCUUUAAAUCAAAUCACAAAGGCAUAUGACAUCUUUGAAGGAGAAACUUAUAUUCCCAAACACAAUAAACAUUCUUCUAUUACUAUGUUAAUUUGGAAAACAGGUCAUGGGAAAUUAAAUUGCUUAAAAUAGGUCACCAAUUAUAACUCUGCAUUCUAUUUAAGCAAAUGCAUCUCUGAAAUCUUUAUUAGUUUAUUUUAAUUAAAG
rnacentral:lncRNA from 1 species